UACGUAGGGUGCAAGCGUUGUCCGGAAUCAUUGGGCGUAAAGCGCGCGUAGGUGGUCAUGUAAGUCCGCUGUGAAAGUCAAAGGCUCAACCUUUGAAAGCCGGUGGAUACUGCAUGACUAGAGUACGGAAGAGGCGAGUGGAAUUCCUGGUGUAGCGGUGGAAUGCGCAGAUAUCAGGAGGAACACCAAUAGCGAAGGCAGCUCGCUGGGACGUUUACUGACACUGAGGCGCGAAAGCGUGGGGAGCGAACAGG
rnacentral:rRNA from 1 species